GGUGUGUGUUGGUGAUGGGGCCGCAGCUGGUUUACCGGGGAUUGCCGCGCCGCAGAGCGAACGAAUUGGGAACACGGCUGCUGGGCUAAGCCCUGAGGGCUCUGCUCCGGGGCUGCUCCCUGCGUUUCGGACACGCUGCAGUAUACGUGGGCCGCGUGGGCCCAGCCUCGUGGGCUGAGUUCCGGUAGAGGGAGUUGGGGGGGGGCAACGCGGCAGGCAUCAUCCGCCAGGGAGGGCCAGACAUUCGGUUCUGGGAAGCUACAUGCAUCCACUGGUUGGAGCUCCAUGUCCCCGGGCCUGUAAGGAAUUAGUGCCCUCAGCUUUAACCAUUUUCCUUCUGGUUCAUGUUCAACCGGGCUACAUUACCCGCCCCUCUCUCCGCAGCGUGGUUUUGCGAUGGGGUAUGUGUAAAAUUCGUAGGACAUUUUCUGGAAAGUAUCAAGCGUUCAUUCAGUGCUACUUUGUUUCAUAGUCGUAUCCCUGGAGUUACUUAGAGUUGGUCGCUUUCGCCUCUGGUAUCGUGCAUAUGAUGGAAAAGUUUUAAUCUCCUGACACUUGUGAUGUCUUCAAAGGAACCACUGAUGCACCUGUGGCCAGGGUGGCCCACUGCAGUUCUUGGGGCCGGAAGUGACCGAUUUCUA
rnacentral:lncRNA from 1 species